CCCAAGAUCCCCCAGCACAACCCACCCCAUCCCCACCAUUCCCACUGCCCUUGUCUCUCAGUGCCACAUCCCCUCCUGGAACACCUUUGGGGAUGGUCGUCCUGCCAGCCCUGCCCCUGAGCAGAGCCAGGGAGCAGGACAUCACAUACAUGCAUCUAACCCAGAUGGGUGGGAGAUGUGGACAAUGCAAAUGUACAGAGUAACAGCUGAUCUCUAUUUGACAUCUCAAGGUUGAAUGUGAGGCUCUGAUGGCACUGUGGGGAAUAUGGAGCCAAGCCUUCUGCGUGGGAACAAAUCAGUGCCAGUCGCUUCAUGGAUGAGACAAAGACCAGAGUAGAUAAAGAAGCCCAAAGCCACCUGUGUCCUCGUGAUUCUCUGGGAGAGGAACACACCAAGGGCUGCCUGUAUUCCAUGCAUCCCUGGUCAGGCCUGCAAGAAGGAAAUCAUAGCUGCUACAACACAGCAAAGGGAAGGUGGUUUUUUUGACAAGGACGUUCCCAAGAUCAUCCAGUUUUGAGCAAAACAAAUAUUCCUCCUUGGCUUGUGAAUAUUUCACCUGAAAAUACAUGGAGUCAUAGAAUGAGUACCCAUAGAAUGGAUAGCUUGGGAAGAAUUUCCUGCCAGCUGACCGUUCUGAGGAUGUUGGCCCCUGUGCAUGAGAGUAAAUAUGACUGGAAGUGGAUAUAUAUGGCCCCUCCUGAAAUGCCAGUGGUUCUUCUGUAAGUACCAAUUUAUCACUCUUUUAUACGUUUCUUUUAAAUCAAAAGGAAUGACUGUAAUUCUAUACCCAG